GGUGAAAGUAAAGCUCAGAGAGUGCUUGGAGCAGUCCGGUAGAUGAAUGGAGGAGCCCAUUAUUGGAGAAGUCCGGAUGGUAUUAUGGAAGCUCGGACGGUCAGAGGAGUUUGAAAAGACGCCACACAAGGUCGAGGGCUGGAAGGGCCCUAGAAGGGUCGGCCUUUCACAAACUUUGGCUGGGGGUUAUUUAUACCCAACACCAGUCUCCCUACUUUCGAGUUUGAGUUCUGAAUGAAGAAAGUACAGAGAAAUUUUCAUAGCCAAAAUUGCCUCCCUCGAUGCUCGUACUCG
rnacentral:lncRNA from 1 species